rnacentral:lncRNA from 1 species
AAAAAAAAAAAUUUUCACAUCCGUUACUCGGAGCCACAACUCAGAAUUGUCCUAAUUCUGAAUCACAUAUCUCUAAAAUACACAAAAACUAAAUCUACUACAAAUAAUCAAAAAUUUACAAAGAUCUCUAUUUCUGUCAGUUCAUUAAGCUCCCCUUGAAUUUCCAAUUAAUCUAAACUACCUGCUAUUCUACUAAAUCCCCCUUACAAAUUAAGCACCAGUUCCAGCAUGGAACAAAAAGUGAAAACCAUGACCAUAAAAAACAAUGUAUACACCAAU